UAGGCGAACUCCGAAAAGCCUUAAAUAGAGUAGGAA
rfam:Aquimarina atlantica strain 22II-S11-z7 contig7, whole genome shotgun sequence.